GACGAACGCUGGCGGCGUGCUUAACACAUGCAAGUCGAACGGAAAGGCCCUGCUUUUGUGGGGUGCUCGAGUGGCGAACGGGUGAGUAACACGUGAGUAACCUGCCCUUGACUUUGGGAUAACUUCAGGAAACUGGGGCUAAUACCGGAUAGGAGCUCCUGCUGCAUUGUGGGGGGUGGAAAGUUUCGGCGGUUGGGGAUGGACUCGCGGCUUAUCAGCUUGUUGGUGGGGUAGUGGCUUACCAAGGCUUUGACGGGUAGCCGGCCUGAGAGGGGGACCGGCCACAUUGGGACUGAGAUACGGCCCAGACUCCUACGGGAGGCAGCAGUGGGGAAUAUUGCACAAUGGGCGGAAGCCUGAUGCAGCAACGCCGCGUGCGGGAUGACGUCCUGCGGGUUGUAAACCGCUUCCGCCUGUGACGAAGCGUGAGUGACGGUAAUGGGUAAAGAAGCACCGGCUAACUACGUG
rnacentral:rRNA from 1 species